rnacentral:rRNA from 1 species
UGGGGAAUAUUGCACAAUGGGCGCAAGCCUGAUGCAGCCAUGCCGCGUGUAUGAAGAAGGCCUUCGGGUUGUAAAGUACUUUCAGCGGGGAGGAAGGGAGUAAAGUUAAUACCUUUGCUCAUUGACGUUACCCGCAGAAGAAGCACCGGCUAACUCCGUGCCAGCAGCCGCGGUAAUACGGAGGGUGCCAGCGUUAAUAGGAAUUACUGGGCGUAAAGCGCACGCAGGCGGUUUGUUAAGUCAGAUGUGAAAUCCCCGGGCUCAACCUGGGAACUGCAUCUGAUACUGGCAAGCUUGAGUCUCGUAGAGGGGGGUAGAAUUCCAGGUGUAGCGGUGAAAUGCGUAGAGAUCUGGAGGAAUACCGGUGGCGAAGGCGGCCCCCUGGACGAAGACUGACGCUCAGGUGCGAAAGCGUGGGGAGCAAACA